GCAUUGGUGGUUCAGUGGUAGAAUUCUUGCCUGCCACGCGGGAGGCCUGGGUUCGAUUCCCGGCAAAUGCA
rnacentral:tRNA from 1 species